GACGAACGCUGGCGGCGUGCCUAAUACACGCAAGUAGAACGCUGAAGAGAGGAGCUUGCUCUUCUUGGAUGAGUUGCGAACGGGUGAGUAACGCGUAGGUAACCUGCCUUGUAGCGGGGGAUAACUAUUGGAAACGAUAGCUAAUACCGCAUAACAAUGGAUGACACAUGUCAUUUAUUUGAAAGGGGCAAUUGCUCCACUACAAGAUGGACCUGCGUUGUAUUAGCUAGUAGGUGAGGUAACGGCUCACCUAGGCGACGAUACAUAGCCGACCUGAGAGGGUGAUCGGCCACACUGGGACUGAGACACGGCCCAGACUCCUACGGGAGGCAGCAGUAGGGAAUCUUCGGCAAUGGGGGCAACCCUGACCGAGCAACGCCGCGUGAGUGAAGAAGGUUUUCGGAUCGUAAAGCUCUGUUGUAAGUCAAGAACGAGUGUGAGAGUGGAAAGUUCACACUGUGACGGUAGCUUACCAGAAAGGGACGGCUAACUACGUGCCAGCAGCCGCGGUAAUACGUAGGUCCCGAGCGUUGUCCGGAUUUAUUGGGCGUAAAGCGAGCGCAGGCGGUUUGAUAAGUCUGAAGUUAAAGGCUGUGGCUCAACCAUAGUUCGCUUUGGAAACUGUCAAACUUGGGUGCAGAAGGGGAGAGUGGAAUUCCAUGUGUAGCGGUGAAAUGCGUAGAUAUAUGGAGGAACACCGGUGGCGAAAGCGGCUCUCUGGUCUGUAACUGACGCUGAGGCUCGAAAGCGUGGGGAGCGAACAGGAUUAGAUACCCUGGUAGUCCACGCCGUAAACGAUGAGUGCUAGGUGUUGGAUCCUUUCCGGGAUUCAGUGCCGCAGCUAACGCAUUAAGCACUCCGCCUGGGGAGUACGACCGCAAGGUUGAAACUCAAAGGAAUUGACGGGGGCCCGCACAAGCGGUGGAGCAUGUGGUUUAAUUCGAAGCAACGCGAAGAACCUUACCAGGUCUUGACAUCCCGAUGCUAUUUCUAGAGAUAGAAAGUUACUUCGGUACAUCGGUGACAGGUGGUGCAUGGUUGUCGUCAGCUCGUGUCGUGAGAUGUUGGGUUAAGUCCCGCAACGAGCGCAACCCCUAUUGUUAGUUGCCAUCAUUCAGUUGGGCACUCUAGCGAGACUGCCGGUAAUAAACCGGAGGAAGGUGGGGAUGACGUCAAAUCAUCAUGCCCCUUAUGACCUGGGCUACACACGUGCUACAAUGGUUGGUACAACGAGUUGCGAGUCGGUGACGGCAAGCUAAUCUCUUAAAGCCAAUCUCAGUUCGGAUUGUAGGCUGCAACUCGCCUACAUGAAGUCGGAAUCGCUAGUAAUCGCGGAUCAGCACGCCGCGGUGAAUACGUUCCCGGGCCU
rnacentral:rRNA from 1 species